AGUGGCGGACGGGUGAGUAACGCGUGAGAAUCUGCCUUCAGGUCGGGGACAACAGAGGGAAACUUCUGCUAAUCCCGGAUGAGCCUUAGGGUAAAAAAUUUAUUGCCUGGAGAUGAGCUCGCGUCUGAUUAGCUAGUUGGUAAGGUAAAAGCUUACCAAGGCAACGAUCAGUAGCUGGUCUGAGAGGAUGAGCAGCCACACUGGGACUGAGACACGGCCCAGACUCCUACGGGAGGCAGCAAUGGGGAAUUUUCCGCAAUGGGCGAAAGCCUGACGGAGCAAGACCGCGUGGGGGAGGAAGGCUCUAGGGUUGUAAACCCCUUUUCUUUGGGAAGAACAAAAUGACGGUACCAAAGGAAUCAGCCUCGGCUAACUCCGUGCCAGCAGCCGCGGUAAUACGGAGGAGGCAAGCGUUAUCCGGAAUGAUUGGGCGUAAAGCGUCCGCAGGUGGCAAUGUAAGUCUGCUGUCAAAACCCAGGGCUCAACUCUGGUCAGGCAGUGGAAACUACAUAGCUAGAGUUCGGUAGGGGCAAAGGGAAUUCCCGGUGUAGCGGUGAAAUGCGUAGAGAUCGGGAAGAACAUCGGUGGCGAAAGCGCUUUGCUAGACCGAAACUGACACUCAGGGACGAAAGCUAGGGGAGCGAAUGGGAUUAGAUACCCC
rnacentral:rRNA from 1 species